CAGUGCUAUGCAUCCUAUCCAUAGAUUGUUGAAGCCACAUUUCAGAUACACAAUAGAGAUUAAUGCUCUUGCUCGAGAAAGUUUGAUUAAUGCAGGUGGUGUCAUUGAAACAGCAUUUGCGCCAGGAAAAUAUUCUAUGGAGUUGAGCUCUGUUAUCUAUGACAAACAAUGGCGAUUUGACCUACAAGCAUUGCCAGCUGACCUAAUCAAUAUAUGAAUGGCUGUUGAGGACAAGAAUAGUGAACAUGGUCUAA